UCGGUAACGCCGGCGCCCAACCGGCGCGUCCCGGUCAGAGCGUCCGCCCGGAUGGGCUGGUCCCGGCGCUGCCGGCAGGGAGGGCGGGGAACAGAGCCCCCCGGGGAGGGCAGGCCCCCGGGCUCUCCCCCCUUUAUAGACGAAGCUCGGUGCCCUGGGCCCCGGCCCGGGGGUGUAGAGGUGAUUUCCCCUCCGGUACUGCCGAGCUCUCGGGGGGCUGUGGCCCCCCUUUCAGAGCCCGCUCCUGGGUGUGCAGCGCGAUGCUCGGCUGGAACGGCCGCUCCUGGCACCGUGCAGGGCGAGCAGGUAGGAUUUGGGAUGUUGCAGAGAGAACCAAAGAGCUGUGACAGGUGUGAGGCAGCCCUGCCCACCCCACGGGCACAGCUCCCGCUGGGCACACACCACCCGGGGCCGGGGCAGUGAAGGGGCUCCUGUGACACCAAGGAAAUUGCUCUGUUCUUCUCAAAAGCAACGUGCCCCGAGCACGUUCUGGCCUGGCUAAGUCCCCCCGUGUCUGUCAGAGCUUGACGAGCACGGACACUGCAGCCUCCUCGAGCCUGUGGAACUGGACCACAGCUAAUGCCUGCACAAUGCAAACCAAGACUGGAACGGUUGUUUCCUUUGAUGUGUGUUACUAAACACACAAAAAGGAUAUUUUCCCUUAGAUCCUCCUGGGAGCGGAACUUCUUUAAAAAGACCUGUUGGUGCUCUGGCUUUGCUAAGGACCAAAGCCACUUCUGAGCCCAGACGAAAGGAGGAUGGUGUGAUGGGUCUCUUCUAAGACAGAAGAAAGGAAAAUUCCUUUUUCCUAUUUUCAGCAGCUGCUAAUCUUGUGGAGCGUGAAAGGCACAUUGAUGAAGAGGCUCCAGAAUGACAGGCUCACUCCCGACGGUCAGAAAGCUCAUCUGAAUCCAAAGGUGUUUCUUCUAGGAAUAAACCCAAGACUUAACCAAGACAAUGUGUGUGAACUCGCUGUUACUCACAACAUGUCACUGCAUUUGUGAUGUACAACUGCCAAUUCCAAGGUUCAGCAAAACCAGGGGCACUGGCUCCAGACAGGAAACACGUGGCCACCCAGGGGGUUGCAGUGCUGGAGCCCCAGUUAUCCCAGGACAGCAUCACACAGCUCCAGAGGGACUGACACAGGUGCCAAGGGUCAGCCUUUGCUGCAGGCAGCAGUGCCAGGGAGCAGCUGCCCUGCUGUGCCUCACACACUGCCCUUGCAGCCCCUCAGCCUUUGCUGAGCCGGGGGUCUGGCUUCACUUUUGUGCCUGCUCCCAGCACUCCAGUGGCACUAAAAAAGUAACAAUUAUUUUGCCCUAAUAUACACCCAUAAGCCAGUUAGAGGAGAAAAAACUGAAAUAUGAGGUAAAUUAAAGUUUCCAACUAAGGAGAUUUAACAGUAAGUCACCAUAAAAUUUGGAUAAUUUAUUUUUUCAAUUCUGCAGCAACUUUCUCCAAUUCAUUUGGACUAGCUAUUAGAAAUUAUGUCUCAAAAAUUAAAGAAAAUGUCUAUUGACCACUAUAUCAAAUUCUAAUUUUAGCCAGAAAAAAAAAAGAAUAAUUAGGCUGUGAUUUAUUCUGGUAGUCAACUUACAUUAACAAUUUUCCCCCAUGUUUAUGUAAUUCUGGCAAAAUCAAAUAAUAUAUACGGUGCUCAUAAGCGCUGAGCUAGAUUUAGUAAAGACAAUUUCCUACCCUAUAUCCAGACAUUUGUCUUUGCUUUCUAUUCUAAUAAGACAAUCAAGUUAUUCCAUGUAAGGAGGGAAUAUGAUUGUCAUCCGUGGUCGCCUCAGUUGGAAUUUUAGUGCAGUCUUCAAUGAGGGUCAUGGAAGGAUUGUUUUUUUAAUUUUCUUUAAGCUGUCAUCCUCCUGUAACAAGCUGUAUAGCCUGGCUGCUCUCUGUGGAUGCUUUAGCCCACGUCCAACCCCCUCCCCUGCUAGUAUAGGAAAUCCAGCUAUUCCCCAAUGAGAAAGUGUAAAUCCUGCGAAGCCCCAGAGCCGGAAGCCCUGGUGCAGCGUUGGCAGCCAACUGGCUCUGCUCCCAGGGCUGCACAGCUCCCAGCUCAGCACUGGCCAGGGAGCCCGGCACCACAAAGCACAACCCUCGGCUGAGUUCAGGAUCGGAUCCCAAGCCACGGCUGGAGCAAAUAAUAAUGGAAAAGGAUGUUUAAGAUCCCUAAAGGUAUGCUCCGAAAUUUGUGUUCCUUUUUUUAAACAAGUAUCUUUUCCAAGAUACUUAACUCCUCUGGAAUUGAACUGUUGUCUGCAUUAACUGAAUAAAUACAGAUCUGGGAGCCAAACCAGUCACCAAGGUAUGAAACUGUCAGCUUCAGGCACUGAGAACAGAAGAAUCAGGGGAGGGGAGGGGAAGACAACAGCAGAAGAACAACAGGAGAACCAAAGGAAGAGGAAUUGGUGAUGGUAACAAAGGCAGAAGGUGCUCAAAGCCAUGCAGAUUCCAGAACUGGAAGCCAGAGGCAAAGUCAAAUUUACCCAAGUCAGUCUGCUCAGACAGCACCUCCCCGGCUCUGCCCUUUGCCCAGAAACCCAUCCUGGCCCUUCCAAACCAAGUCCCCAGUCAUAUGCUCCUGUGAUUCCCUCCAGGAGCAUCAUUAACACACAGAGCACUUAAGCUUUCAAUUAAAAAGCAUCAUUGCUGAAAGCAUUAUCCCAAUCUUUAAAGGACUCCACCCCAACUGGACUCUCCAUGCUAUAAAUUCAUAAUGAGAAGGAACUUCCCUGACUGCUCCCAUCAUUAUUUAUGAAUAGGUAAACCAAAUGGAAGUGUAAUUCCAGUGUCACAAACUAGAGUCACUCAUGCUUUGCUCCCAGUGGCACUGUGGCAGGACAGCUGCUCCAGUUCUCCCGGGGAGACCUGAUGGUGCCUUAUCACACAAACCCCUUCUGCUCUGUCAGCAAGGUACACAGCAGUUCUUACAGCAAAAAUGAUUGGUUUAAUACUUUCUCACUGGUUUUAGCUACAGAGCAGAGUUUCUUUCUAGGUCUGCCUAAUCCUCGUCUAACCAUUAAAACUAUUCUUUCCCAUGUGACCCAUGAGAGUUGCACAGAAUGAGGAAUAUUUCCAAACAGUAGCUGCAGCAAACACACAAAAAUAACUCGUCUUCACUGAGAUGGGUUCAUUUGUGAGUUCUGACUUUCCCCUGAACUUUCUCCCCUGAAGGACUGGAACAGUAACACUGGAACAGUAAUACUUUUUUUCCCAAAGUGGAGUAAAUCAGUUUCUACACUCUCAGUGGUAGAGUAAAAAUUAGAGAUGAAAGGGAGUAAAGACUGCAGAAAAUCCCUAUUACUCCACAAUAAUACAAUUUGCUGCUGAUCCUCAGUUGCUAAGACAGGCAUAUCAAUUAUUUAUAGAACCCAGAGUGUGAAAUAUGAAGUAUUUCAGCCUGGGACAGCGUGAAAGUAAAACCAGGAAUGUGAUCCUGUCGGCACUGCAGAAAAGGACGGAAUAGGCAAGGACAGGAUAUUCCUACAGGGGUUACCCUUUUUAUUGAGCUACAAAUUGCAAAAGGUCCCUGUGAAGUGCCACUUUUGGUGUUAAGUGAUCUGCAUUCUCCUUUUGACAGCAUCAGUCUGUAUUUAAUGUUUGUUUAACAAGUAUCCAAAGGGCC